CAGGACUCUUUGGAUCACUGAAAUAAAAGAAUAAUAAUAAUAAUCUCAGACACCUGUGAUAAAUGGUCUUCCAGGUGAGUUCAAUUAAAGGACAAACUACUAAAGAAGGAUGUUCCCCAUUAUUAAGCAGACCAGCAUUUUUAAGCAAUACGGGGAAGAAAAAGGAUCUCUCUGCUGCCCUUGUUACCCCAUGGCAGUCCCCUUGAAUGAGACCCUCAAUCUCAGUUGCCUCAGUGGAGCCUCUCAGUGGUGACAGUUGAACUGAAGGAGGAGGAGAUUUUCACACUGCUGAUGUGGUUUCCCAUCCGGGACAGAUUUCAGGCUACUUCUAAGCUAAAGAGCCCUUGACAGCGCUGUAUGGCCCCUAUCUUGCCACAGGCAUAUGGAGCAUGGCGCAGGUGGUGCAAGUGUGUUUCCUAAUUUCCUGCUGGUGCAGUUGACUAUUUCCAUGUCAUCUACAUCCUGUUGUCUUGGUACCGAGCAAGAGUCGCCUUCAUCCUGGCAGGUGAGUCUGGAUGGGAAGAGGCCUGUUCAACUUCAUCAUGGCUGGUUUGCAAACGUUAACGAGAAAAUGGUGACUGCGUCGCCGACCAGCAUAAAGUCGAUCAUGGUUAUUUACAGACAAUUUCACCAGGUACUGAUGUGUGCGGGACUGUGAUCCCCUCAGAUAUGCAUGAAAAAAUUAGCAAAAACAAUGAUGUGGUGUCUUCUGGGUUGUGCAGAUUUCUAUAUUUAUAAGACAUGUUUCUCUUCUCAGCCCGUAAUACAGCUGUGAUAUAUCAUUAA